AGUGAACGCUGGCGGUAGGCCUAACACAUGCAAGUCGAACGGCAGCACAGGAGAGCUUGCUCUCUGGGUGGCGAGUGGCGGACGGGUGAGGAAUACAUCGGAAUCUACUCUGUCGUGAGGGAUAACGUAGGGAAACUUACGCUAAUACCGCAUACGACCUACGGGUGAAAGCAGGGGACCUUCGGGCCUUGCGCGAUUGAAUGAGCCGAUGUCGGAUGAGCUAGUUGGCGGGGUAAAGGCCCACCAAGGCGACGAUCCGUAGCUGGUCUGAGAGGAUGAUCAGCCACACGGGAACUGAGACACGGUCCAGACUCCUACGGGAGGCAGCAGUGGGGAACAUUGGACAAUGGGCGCAAGCCUGAUCCAGCCAUACCGCGUGGGUGAAGAAGGCCUUCGGGUUGUAAAGCCCUUUUGUUGGGAAAGAAAUCCAUCUGGUUAAUACCCGGGUGGGAUGACGGUACCCAAAGAAUAAGCACCGGCUAACUUCGUGCCAGCAGCCGCCGUAA
rnacentral:rRNA from 1 species